AAUGCAUAUCACUUAUAUCAAAUAUAAAAGGGGAAAUAACUCUCAUAUGGAGUCUCCAGAUAACUUCGGUCAAAAUAAAUCAAAUCAUCCUGAGGAUAUAUCGAGCAAUUUGGUAAAAUAAAUUUGUCGGUUUCUUAUACGGUUGCGAAUAUUAAGCGAUCACAAGAAAAACAGUGUUCAGGGAGAUAACUCUUACAUUGAAAAGAUUUUGGUUACGCGGUGUCAGUUACAAAAGCGUAAUAACUGUUCGAUAUCAUGUACCAUAUGUCUAAGCGACAUCUUGCGAAACAAAAAACUGUGAAGGAAAAAAAAGUUGGCGGAAGAAAAAAAAUAAUAAUAAUAAUAAUCAGAAGAAAUCCAAUAGGUCUUUCCACGGAAAAGUGGAAAGACCUAAUAAUAAUAAUCAGAACAAAACCUAUAGGUCUUUCCACGGAAAGGUGGAAAGACCUAAUAAUCAG
rnacentral:lncRNA from 1 species